AUGCCAGCAAAGCGAUUCAGCUUUAGCCCACCUGUUUACAAAGCACGCACCCUCUUAGCAGCGUGGGACUAUAACCAUCAUGUUCACAGACCGGUGAAGAGGAAGGCUGAUGGCUCAAUAGAGUACUGCAAGCUCUACAAUAAAAAGUCAAAGACUUGGAGACACUGUCUAUACACAGUGAAGGUGGAGAAGGACUACGGAUACAUGGCAGACCUGCAGAGUGCUAUCCUAGAAGCCGGCUGACAUCAGACAAGGGUUUGCCAAAGACCAGAAAAAAAUGCCUAAUGACCCACGGCAAUAUGGGGUUCUUGCAAGCAUCCCACCUCCCACCACCCAGGACCUGUUGCAAACCCAAUUCCACAGAGGAGUAGGUAUGGAAUGAAACCUGUUUGACACAUUAUCUACACAUGAUACAGUACAUAUCCCAAGUAAAGGGAAAUUAAACACUUGGGAAAAGUAGUGACUUUAUUCUUUCAACAGGGCAAGGAAUGCAGUAAGAGACCAUAGAAGAGAUUGGAGGUCCCAUACCAACUAAACUGAAGCUGACUGUAGGCUGCUGGGGGCUGUUUGGAACAGUAUUACGCUGCUCACUUUUUGGUUUUUGAUAUUUGUAAAUAUUCGAUUUAUUAGGUCUAAAUGUCCUUCACAGUUUUGUAUUAUUUACACUUGUUUCUUAUAAAAUAUAUAAAAAAAAAAUAGGAUUUUGUAUAUAGUUUUCUAUGAUCAAUUUGUUUAUAAUUGACAUAUUUUCAAUGCAGUUGCACGAUUGUUCUGCUAAAAAGGCAUUUUGUUAUGUAGUGCUUUUAUACUUGUGCAAAAAGCAAUGCAGUUGCACUUGUGCUGCACUUAGUCAUCGAAGGCCAGGGUGUUCCUGUGUGUGUGAGUUAUUAACUUAUUGUUUUAUUAUUUAAUAAAAAAGUUUACCGCACCUGCCUCAUCCUUUAUCCAGCAUUACACCUGCUGAAUGUGCAUUGUUAUCAUGAUAUGCUAUAGUUAUUUUGAUGUCUGCUGUAAACGACAAUGA
rnacentral:lncRNA from 1 species